UAAUGAUAUAAGAGUGGAGGUCGACAACAUAAACUUGACUGUGACAGGUAGACGCACAUCUAUCUGUCAAAGAGUUGAUGCAGGAACUAAAGCUUCAAUCCUUGGAUAUCAUAA